GGUCGGUUCAUCUAGCGGUUAGGAUUCAAGAUUUUCAUUCUUGCCACACGGGUUCGAUUCCCGUACCGACUACCA
rnacentral:tRNA from 1 species